ACGCCCUUGGUCCAAUGGCAAGACGUUGGUCUCCAAAACCAGAGAUCGGGGUUCGACUCCCCGAGGGCGUGCCA
rnacentral:tRNA from 1 species